CUUGUUUUUUCUUCAAAACAAAACAAACUACAAAAAUGUAAGCUGGCAAUGAGCAUCCCGUAUAAUUAAAAACAGUUCGAUAUGAUAUCAUAACCAUAAUAUUAGCUUAAGAAAUUCAACUUCAAACUUCCUCUGACAGUAGACGGCAAAAAUUCCGCUGUGAUGUGCUGUGACUGUCGGAACCUGCGGAAUUACUCCAGUUGAAAGAACCAUGAUACCAACACAGCGCUCCAGAAAGUGCUCAAGUAGUCCUUGAUUGCCGAUGGACAUGGCAUCAUGGGUUCAUGGAAUCACGGCCCGGUGCAACGGGUGGCAGGAAACACUAUUUCGCGACGAUUCCAACAAGAAGCUGGAUAAACGGUCUAGCCUGUGCAAGAUCGACUAAAGAUACAAACCCCAAAAGAGUAGCGAAAUUUCUUGAGUCGUGUUGAAUAUAGUCCUAAAAGUCUACCAUCUUAUACCAUCUACUAGAGAAACACGCUUGAUCACAAACAGCUAUUUAUUAACCAACAUUCUCAAGUGUUUUUCUGCAUCUGAGCCGAAAUUCGCCUCAUUGGUGUGGUAUUCACGACUUACGCACCGUAGUGCUUUCCAUUAUCUCUUUUACUCGGCACUUGACUGCUGGUUCUAUCUUUGAGACAUCUAAUAGCCCAAUAUUUCCGGUUGUGACAAAUUCCUUCACAAUGAUUCUCUAUCUCAAAAAUCGGCACAAAUAUGUAAAAGACGGUGUUGAUACGGUUCGUGAAAGUUUUCAUAAGUUGUAUACUCUAUCCAAGGUUAUCUUUGGUAAAUCAUGUUAAUUGAUGGUGGAAUAUAAUGUGUUUUCCAAAUAGAUAUGACGGAUUUAAUCAUAUACCGGAAAAAUUCAUGCUCGAGAUCACGAAAAAAAUGGUUUUGUGGUAUGUUUCAUAUCAUAAUUUUGUUCCCUGUGGUUGUUCAAAAUCGCUUAAAUAAAUUCAAAGUCAAAAUUCUUGAAAACUUUCGUAAAAAUUCUUGUUGAAAUUCUGAAGAAAUUUUCGUUGGAGUGUAGAAGAGAUUUCUCUAUGAAAUCAGAGAAAUUAUCCGUUGUAAUUCUGAAGAAUUUUCCACCGAAAAUCCGAAAAAUUUCCCGUGGAAACAGAAAAGAAUUUCCAGUGAAAAUUUUCGUGAAAGUUUCGGAGAAUUUGUCGUGGUAAUUCCAAUGUAUUUAACAAAUUUCUGGAUAAGAAAAAACAUUUUGUAUUACCCCGACC